rnacentral:rRNA from 1 species
AUGGAAUUGCUUAUUGCACCACAUGUGUUUUUCUUUGAAACAAACUUGCUUUGGCGGUGGGCCCAGCCUGCCGCCAGAGGUCUAAACUUACAACCAAUUUUUUAUCAACUUGUCACACCAGAUUAUUACUAAUAGUCAAAACUUUCAACAACGGAUCUCUUGGUUCUCGCAUCGAUGAAGAACGCAGCGAAAUGCGAUACGUAAUAUGAAUUGCAGAUAUUCGUGAAUCAUCGAAUCUUUGAACGCACAUUGCGCCCUCUGGUAUUCCGGAGGGCAUGCCUGUUUGAGCGUCGUUUCUCCCUCAAACCGCUGGGUUUGGUGUUGAGCAAUACGACUUGGGUUUGCUUGAAAGACGGUAGUGGUAAGGCGGGAUCGCUUUGACAAUGGCUUAGGUCUAACCAAAAACAUUGCUUGCGGCGGUAACGUCUACCACGUAUAUCUUCAAACUUUGACCUCAAAUCAGGUAGGACUACCCGCUGAACUUAAGCAUAUCAAAAGCGGAGGAA